ensembl:snoRNA LOC120102735 small nucleolar RNA SNORA17
CUCACCCUAGAAGGGUUGUGGGUAGGCUACUGUGUUACAUCUGUAUCAGUAGGAUGCGAAGAGAAGAGAAACAAAGUCUACUUUCAGAGUUCUGACCUAUGAUUGGUAGCCUAACAAC